GGGAAUCUGCCCUUGGGUUCGGAAUAACUCAGAGAAAUUUGAGCUAAUACCGGAUGAUGACGUAAGUCCAAAGAUUUAUCGCCCAAGGAUGAGCCCGCGUAGGAUUAGCUAGUUGGUGAGGUAAAGGCUCACCAAGGCGACGAUCCUUAGCUGGUCUGAGAGGAUGAUCAGCCACACUGGGACUGAGACACGGCCCAGACUCCUACGGGAGGCAGCAGUGGGGAAUAUUGGACAAUGGGCGAAAGCCUGAUCCAGCAAUGCCGCGUGAGUGAUGAAGGCCUUAGGGUUGUAAAGCUCUUUUACCCGGGAUGAUAAUGACAGUACCGGGAGAAUAAGCUCCGGCUAACUCCGUGCCAGCAGCCGCGGUAAUACGGAGGGAGCUAGCGUUGUUCGGAAUUACUGGGCGUAAAGCGCACGUAGGCGGCUUUGUAAGUUAGAGGUGAAAGCCUGGAGCUCAACUCCAGAACUGCCUUUAAGACUGCAUCGCUUGAAUCCAGGAGAGGUGAGUGGAAUUCCGAGU
rnacentral:rRNA from 1 species